AUGGAGGCUGCGGGUCCAGAUGCUGUGGGAGCUCAGAAGAGGCCACGUCUAGAAGCGCCGCGCCCCCGGGUGUGGGUGGCCGAUUCUGCGCAUCCGGAGGGGCCAACGAGACACACGCCGCCCCACCCAGGGCAGGGAGAGGCCGCCUCCGCGCACCGGUGCCUCCCGGCGCCCAGCGGAUCCCAGCUCGCCGGCCCGCGGGAGCUACGGCGCAGGCGUGGCCCCUCCGGGUCGGGCGGGGUGGGGCGAGGCGCCGGCCGGUGCAGCAGCCUCUUGGCCGGGCCGGCGUCCCCUCGGGAUUCGGCCCCACUCCGCGCUCCUCCGUCCUCCUCCCCGAGGCGGGGGCGCGCGGGGCGCAAGGUCGCCGCCCGGCGGGGAGCUCAUCCGGCGGCGCAGACGCCCAGCGGCUCCGGGGAGGGACUUGGCCUGGGUCUGGCCCUCGCUCACCGGGGAGGAGCCGAGGGCUGCAGCUGGCGGCGGCCGGCGGGCGGGCGGAGGUCCUGGUGCAGCGGCCCGGCCGGAGGGCCCAUCUCGGCCGUGCCCGCCGCCGCCGGCCCUGCUCUCCCGCUGCGGGAGCCGGGCGCCCCCCGCGCCCCGCCUGCCCCUCUCGGGCCUCUCCGUCGUCUCUCGGGAAAGCCCGGGAGAGGCGCCCUCCCCUUAGCGGGCCCGGAGCUGCGGAGGAUCGCGGGGCGCGGCCGAGGGGAGGAGAAAAGAGAGGGAGCGCGUCGGCCGGCCGGCCGUGAUCGCCGGCUGCUCCGCCAAUCUGCGGGCGCUGACGCGGGGGGCGGCUCCGCGGCGCUCGGAUAUCUGCCCGCCCGGGCGCGGGGCGCCGAGAGCUCGGCCGUGCGGGCGCAGCGCUCCAGGGACGCCGGCUGCACCUGCCGGGGACCUCGCCGGCCGCUCCGCGCGCCCCCCGCGCCCGCCCCCAACUCAGUCCUCGCGGCCGCGCGCCCUCGUCUCCCCCGGUCCCCGCCCCCGGGCCGCAGCGAGAGCGCCGGGCCCUGCCCGAGGAGCCGCCCCUUCUCCGCCCGGCCGGCCCACGGAGCCGCGGAGAGGACUGCGCCGCGCCGUCACCGCCACCACGCCGGGCCGCCGCGCCCUGGUCGGCAUGGGCCGCCGCGUCCGGCCCCUGAGCGCCUGAUGAGCGCGGCCGCCGCCCCGGAGAUCCGAGCCGGCCUCUGCGCGCGCGGGGCCUCACCCGGCUGCGCCCCCAGCUCCGCGGACGAGGGCUGCUGGGCGCGGCCGCUCCAGAGAGGCCAGAGUGAGCGGCCCCGGGAUGGCCCGGCGAGGGGGCGCUUUGGCGGGGGGCGCCCUACGCUGGGUGCGGGACCCGAGACAGCCCCCGAGCUGGUAGCUGCCCGACAACAGAUGGACCUUGACCCACGCCGCGGCCCCGCGUUCGUGCCAAACCGAGACUAG
rnacentral:lncRNA from 1 species